CUUUUUGCUAUAACACUAAAGCAACUUUGACAAGAGGAGGACGAUGGAAUGGACAGCAGCUCAGCGCUCCGUGCCCUGUCGGAGCAACUGUCAGAAACAACUGCACUGAGAAGACAGCCGAGCUGUCAGACUGACACAGAAUGCACCCACACAUGCAUACACACUACGCAUGUACAGACAGAGACACUAUAGACAUACGCAUACAGUAUGUUGAAUGCACCCACACACAUAGAGCACGUACCGGUAUCAGGGUGAUCUGGCGGGGCGGCGGCCCGUGCGGUGUGGCUGCUGCAGGCAGAGUGUCUGUCUGUUCCCUGGGAGCUGAAUCAGCGACGGAGAGUUUAGGGAUGCAGAGAGGAGAGGAGGGUCAUGGGAGAUGUUGCUUUUCUCACACCGGAUGGGAGGAAGAGGAUGAGAGGAGGAAAAAAAGACCAAAAAGAACCAAUGGCAAGUACAAAGAAAAAGCCCUAUAUAAAAUCAAAAGACUUGAACCUUUCUUAUAAGAGGAUUUUUUAUAACCUGAUGAUGUGGCGUUCAAAUGCGUCAAACUCACGGCUGCCCAUCCCUCCCCACCUAACCAUGCAAAGUUUGACUGAGGAAGCUUAAUGAAACUGCAAUAGAGGGAUCAGAGAAUGUGGACUGUGCGCUGACAGAGCUGAAGGACAAAUUGAGAAGAGGGACGGAGGGAGGGAGAGGGAGAGAGAAAGAGAAAGACUGACUGAGUGAGAGAGCGCCAGAGAGUGAGUGAGGAAAGCAGAGGAGACACAAUAGAUGACAGGAUAAGUGCAAGAAAGAAAGAAAGAAAGAAAGAAAGAAAGAAAGAAAGAAAGAAAGAAAGAAAGAAAGAAAGAAAGAAAGAAAGAAAGAAAGAGGCUAUGUUUUGCCUCAACGGCGCAUUGAAGAGAUUACAUUUUCCUUUCUAACCUCUCAGCUGUCCAUCAUUUCCCCACAUCUCCUUCUCGACACUGACCCCCUAUAUUCCACAGCGCCACACAUCCUGAGGUCACCGCAACGCAGGGCCUGUAUCAACCUCCAAAGUACGGAUACAAAAAAAUGAAUGUGUCGAUCCCAUCACAGGGAGACUUCAGAGGCAAAAGGGUUGAGAAGAGAAAAAGUAAGCAAAACAUUUCUAAAACAAUACCCUGUCAGCUGACGAUGCUCUGGAGGAGUGGAUGAAGACAUAAGCAUUGAUUUUGAAAUGAAAAGUGGAAAGGUGGACUUCAGAACGCGACGGACCAUCUCUGGGAGAGAAUGGAAGGGCAGCGUGAUCGGAGUAACCCCCCACCGUCCAGGGGCUUAUAUACCCAGAGAAUUUGGCAGUACGUCCAACCGGCCACACAGCUGCAGACCACGUGUAAUCACACCAGCCCAGGACCUCCACAUCCUGGUUCUUCACUUGUGGGAUCGUCGGAGACAAGUCACCCUGACAGCUGAUGAAACUGAGGAGUAUUUCUGUCUGUAGUAAAGCCCUUUUGUGGGGAAAAACUCAUUUGGAUUGGCUGGGCCUGGCUCCCCAGUGGGUGGGCCCUCCCAGGCCCACCCAUGGUAGCGCCCCUGCCCAGUUAUAUGAAAUCCAUAGUUUAG
rnacentral:lncRNA from 1 species